rnacentral:rRNA from 1 species
AACGAACGCUGGCGGCAUGCCUAACACAUGCAAGUCGAACGAGACCUUCGGGUCUAGUGGCGCACGGGUGCGUAACGCGUGGGGAUCUGCCCUUGGGUUCGGAAUAACAGUUAGAAAUGACUGCUAAUACCGGAUAAUGUCUUCGGACCAAAGAUUUAUCGCCCAGGGAUGAGCCCGCGUAGGAUUAGCUAGUUGGUGAGGUAAAGGCUCACCAAGGCGACGAUCCUUAGCUGGUCUGAGAGGAUGAUCAGCCACACUGGGACUGAGACACGGCCCAGACUCCUACGGGAGGCAGCAGUGGGGAAUAUUGGACAAUGGGCGAAAGCCUGAUCCAGCAAUGCCGCGUGAGUGAUGAAGGCCUUAGGGUUGUAAAGCUCUUUUACCCGGGAUGAUAAUGACAGUACCGGGAGAAUAAGCCCCGGCUAACUCCGUGCCAGCAGCCGCGG